UACAUGGGGUGCAAACGUUGCUCGGAAUUAUUGGGCGUAAAGCGCACGUAGGCGGUCUGUUAUGUCGGACGUGAAAUCCCCCGGCUCAACCGGGGAAGUGCAUCCGAAACUGGCAGGCUUGAGUACGAAAGAGGGUCGCGGAAUUCCCGGUGUAGAGGUGAAAUUCGUAGAUAUCGGGAGGAACACCAGUCGCGAAGGCGCUUAACUGGCUCAUUACUGACGCUCAGGGACGAAAGCUAGGGUAGCAAACGGG
rnacentral:rRNA from 1 species